AUUCAGUUGACUCUGAGCAAGGAGGAGAAAGAGGCAGCCGAGGGGCAAACUGGGUAGGAGGCAGGCCCCCAGCCCCUCAUGUCAGAGCCCCCUGUGUACUGUAACCUGGUGGACCUUCGCCGCUGUCCUCGGUCCCCACCCCCAGGCCCUGCAUGCCCCCUGCUGCAGAGGCUGGAUGCCUGGGAGCAGCACCUGGACCCCAACUCUGGACGCUGCUUCUACAUAAAUUCACUGACUGGCUGCAAGUCCUGGAAGCCCCCGCGCCGCAGUCGCAGCGAGACGAACCCUGGCUCCAUGGAGGGGACACAGACCCUGAAGAGGAACAAUGAUGUCCUGCAACCUCAGGCAAAGGGCUUCAGAUCUGACACAGGGACCCCAGAACCGCUUGACCCACAGGGUUCACUCAGCCUCAGCCAACGCACCUCGCAGCUUGACCCUCCAGCCUUGCAGGCCCCUCGACCUCUGCCGCAGCUCCUGGACGACCCCCAUGUGAAUCUCCCAUUUCUUUGUGAAGGCCAAGACCCUCCCUGCCCCCCCUCCCCCCUUUUCCUGCUCCACAUAAACAUCUUCCUCUUUCUGAAUAUCCUCUUACCCAGCCCUCCCCCAGCAACUUUAAGGGACUUCACUCCUGGGAGACCCCCUAGGGAAAGCCGUAGCCACUAUGGAGGGCGAGGGUGACUUACAGAUCCCAUUCCCUCCACUUCCCAGGAGGUGGAAAAGUCGGGUCUGCUCAACAUGACCAAGAUUGCCCAAGGGGGGCGCAAGCUCAGGAAGAACUGGGGCCCGUCUUGGGUGGUGUUAACGAGUAACAGCCUGGUGUUCUACCGAGCGCCACCGCCGACAGCGCCCUCCUCAGGCUGGGGACCAGCGGGUAGCCGGCCCGAAAGUAGCGUGGACCUGCGCGGGGCGGCCCUGGCGCACGGCCACCACCUGUCCAGCCGCCGCAACGU
rnacentral:sRNA from 1 species